rnacentral:rRNA from 1 species
GAAGAACGCUAGCGGCAGGCUUAAUACAUGCAAGUCGAGGGGUAGCAAGAUUGUAGCAAUACAAUUGUUGACGACCGGCAAACGGGUGCGGAACACGUACACAACCUUCCUACAAGUGGGGAAUAGCCCAGAGAAAUUUGGAUUAAUACCCCGUAACAUAGCGAUGUGGCAUCACAUUGCUAUUAUAGCUUCGGCGCUUGUUGAUGGGUGUGCGGCUGAUUAGAUAGUUGGCGGGGUAACGGCCCACCAAGUCUACGAUCAGUAGCUGAUGUGAGAGCAUGAUCAGCCACGCGGGGACUGAGACACGGGCCCGACUCCUACGGGAGGCAGCAGUAAGGAAUAUUGGACAAUGGACGCAAGUCUGAUCCAGCCAUGCCGCGUGAAGGAUUAAGGUCCUCUGGAUUGUAAACUUCUUUUAUAAGGGACGAAAAAAGGUCUUUCUAGAUCGUCUGACGGUACCUUAUGAAUAAGCACCGGCUAACUCCGUGCCAGCCGCCGCCGUAACAC